UACGUAGGGGGCAAGCGUUGUCCGGAAUCAUUGGGCGUAAAGAGCGUGUAGGCGGCCCGGUAAGUCCGCUGUGAAAGUCCAGGGCUCAACCCUGGAAUGCCGGUGGAAACUGUCGAGCUAGAGUCCGGAAGAGGCGAGUGGAAUUCCUGGUGUAGCGGUGAAAUGCGCAGAUAUCAGGAGGAACACCAAUGGCGAAGGCAGCUCGCUGGGACGGUACUGACGCUGAGACGCGAAAGCGUGGGGAGCAAACAGG
rnacentral:rRNA from 1 species